GUCCGGAACAUUUGCAAAAUUUCGAUUGUCAACAACUGACCGAAAAGCAGGGCCUUUUUUAACAUACAAGCUGGGGGGGGGGGCAUUUGCCCCCCAGUCCCCCCUUGUGCCCCCCCCACGAAAUCACAUUUUGCCCCCCCCCCCCAGGAAAAGUCCCUUUUUCCUAAAAUUAUAGGCUACAAACAAUCCAGCGAAGAUUAACAAAUAGAUAAACGGAAAGUAAGUUUUAGGUUUUAUCCUUUGUUCUUGUUUAACAAAAUCGAUUUAAAUUGCGACUCAGUUUUACCACUAAGCCAUGAUAAAUUAUUGUUAAUAUUUUUUUUUAUUUUUUGGAUGCUCAGAAUGCAGAAAAUAGCAUUUCACGGUUUCAAAUUUCAAACAUUUUCUUGGGAUUAUCCCUCUAAUAAGUAAUGAUAAAUUACAGUUAAUAUUCUUUUUUACUUUUUGUGCAUUUUUCCAUCUUUUAUUUCAAAUACAAGUAUAGUUAGCAUAAAUUUUAGAGCAAAUUUGGAUGCUCAGAAUGCAGGAAAUGGCAUUUCCGUGUUUCAAAUUUCAAAAAUUUUCUGGGGAGUACACCCCCACACACGUGACCAUUGGGAUCCUCCUCUAAUAAGUAAUGAUAAAUUAUGGUUAAUAUUUUUUUUAACUUUUUGUGGGUUUUUUCCUUCUUUUAUUUCAAAUACAAGUAUAGUUAGUAUACAUUGUGGAGCGCAUUUGGAUGCUCAGAAUGCAGGAAAUGGCAUUUCUGUGCUUCAAAUUUCAAAAAUUUUCUGGGGGAGUACACCCCCCUCAUUCAUGCGUGCAUGGUAUGUUCAGCGCACACGUGGCCUUCAGCCAUUGCUGUCUCCCUGUAAUAUAUUAUCUCACAGAAAGGUCCCUUUUCAAAAAAUGCCCCCCCCCCCCACGGGAAAAUCCUUAAAAAAGGCCCUGCCGAAAAGUAUGUUUUAACAAGGCAGAAGUUUUCGAAAG